rnacentral:rRNA from 1 species
UAAUACGGAGGGUGCAAGCGUUAAUCGGAAUUACUGGGCGUAAAGCGCUCGUAGGCGGUUUGUUAAGUCGGAUGUGAAAGCCCCGGGCUCAACCUGGGAACUGCAUUCGAUACUGGCAAACUAGAGUAUAGAAGAGGCAAGUGGAAUUCCGGGUGUAGCGGUGAAAUGCGUAGAUAUCCGGAGGAACAUCAGUGGCGAAGGCGACUUGCUGGUCUAAUACUGACGCUGAGGAGCGAAAGCGUGGGGAGCAAACGGGAUUAGAUACCCCGGUAGUCCACGCCGUAAACGAUGUCAACUAGCUGUUGGGGGUCUUAGUACCUUUAGUGGCGCAGCUAACGCAUUAAGUUGACCGCCUGGGGAGUACGGUCGCAAGACUA